rnacentral:lncRNA from 1 species
GUUGCUGUGCUCUUAGGAGCACGGAGGCCUCCGUGCUUCUGAGCCGUUUUCGAUGAUGGAAUUUUCGAAUCGACGAUCGGCUCCGUUAGACUUGAUCUAGCGCAUUUGAAGUUUCUAGAAAAUAUUUUUGCGAUUUUUCGAUAUCAUUUACCUAUGUGAUCGAAAGAAUCAACAUCUAUAAUUUUUAAUGGUUGAUAUCUUGCCGUUUUCAGUUUAACGGUGUAGAAGUAUUCAAAUCAGAUGAAAUUUUGAUAGAAAAUUCUUUAUACUAUGUUCAACAAGAUUAUAUUUCUGAUCGAAAAUUUUAAGUGCUAUAUCACCACUUUUUAUAUGAUUUUUAUUUUUCAGUCGUUAAAAAUUAUUGAUUUUGAAUCCUUUCGAUUGCUAGUAAAUGAUACGAAAAAAUCGCAAAAAUUAUUUUCUAGAAACUUUAAAUACGCUAGAUCAAUUAACGAGCGAUCGUCGAUUCGAAAACUCCAUCAUCGAAAACGGCUCAAGAGCACGGAGGCCUCCGUGUCCUGAGAGCACAGCAGCCUGCUCCAUAUAUAUAUAUACAUAUAUAUAUAUAUAUAUGUAUAUAUGUACAUAUAUCUAUAUAUGUACAUAUAUAACAUAAUAAUGUAUAUAUGUAUGUAUGUAAUGUACAUAUAUAUAUAUAUAUAUAUAUAUAUAUAUAUAAUAUUAUAUAAUAGUACAUAUAUAUAUAUAUAGUAGUAUGUACAUAUAUAUAUAUAUAUACAUACAUACAUAUAUAUAGAUAUAUAUUAUCAUACAUAUAUAUACGUACAUAUAUAUUAUAUAUAUACAUAUAUAUGUAUAUACUGUAAUAUAUACAUUAUAUAUAUAAUAGGAGUUCUGGCUAUUUGUGCUUGUAAAAGUAACAGAGCACAUUGGUGCUUGUAAAUUUUUUAUCGUUAGAUCUAAUACCUUUGAUCAUUUUUACCCGUUAGAUUAUACUAUUCAACCAACCACCCACUCAACCCUAGGGGCCCACAUCAACCUAACCGCACAUCCUUUAAUUAAGGCCGAAAACUACAAAUAAAUGGUGUUGCAGAGCGAAGGAACCGUACUCUAUUAGACAUGGUUAGGUCGAUGAUGGCGCAAGCGCAACUUCCUAUAAAUUUUUGGGGAGAUGCGCUUUUGACUGCAGCCUACAUCCUUAAUCGAGUCCCUAGCAAAUCAGUGCCUACUACCCCAUAUGAGUUAUGGAGCGGUAGAAAGCCAAGUUUACACUACUUACGCCCUUGGGGAUCAGCUGGAUAUGUUCACAGCCCCUCACGUAAAUUCGAGAAACUCGGCCCUAAAGCGAGCAAGCAUGUGUUCAUCAGAUACCCUGAAAAUUCGAAGGGUUAUGUGAUGUAUGGUGAACACCCAGAUGGUGGUAUGACCGAGAUUGAGUCUCGUGAUGUGGAAUUCCUAGAAAGGGAUUUUCCAAGCAUUGGUGAAAUGCGAAGUGACGUCGGAUUGUAUGAGUUACAGGACGACGCUACCCUAUCUGCGGUUGAGGGUGAUCAAUCACUUCCCGAAGUCGCUGAAGGAAGUGGUAGUGAUCCUCCGGCUAGUGGGAGUGCUUCGUUAAAUGAGAGCAUACCCUUGGAAGUCGGCAAUUCGGACCCUCCAUUGCGUAGAAGUGAACGUGGACAUAUUCCCCGUCGACAUUUUGAGAUCGAAGGGGAUAUUUUCAUGUGUACUCCGCUCGAUGACGAUGAACCUUCUUCUUAUAAAGAAGCCCUGCAGAUGUCAGCUUGCAGUGAGUGGAUGACUGCUAUGAAAGAUGAGAUGGACUCCAUGAGCAAGAACCAAGUAUGGGAAUUGGUUGACCUUCCGCCUGGGCGCAAGUCUAUUGGAAAUAAAUGGGUUUUAAAAAUUAAGCGCAAGGCGGAUGGAUCAAUCGAUAAAUACAAGGCUCGGCUCGUGGCUAAGGGCUACACUCAGAGGCAAGGGGUAGAUUACAACGAGACGUUUGCUCCCGUUGUGAGAUUUACCUCCAUUCGUUUGAUUCUAGCCUUAGUGGCACACCUAGAUUUGGAAUUGUUCCAAAUGGAUGUCAAAACAGCUUUUCUCAACGGAGAAUUAGCAGAGGAGAUCUAUAUGGAUCAACCUGAGGGUUUUGUACUCAAAGGUCAAGAAGACAAAGUUUGUCGUCUUAAAAGAUCCAUUUAUGGUCUCAAGCAGUCGUCGAGACAGUGGUAUUUCAGGUUUCAUGAAGCCAUCACCUCUAUCGGUAUGUCCAUGAUAGAGGAGGACCACUGUGUAUACAUCAAGAAAACAGAGAAUGGGAUUUUAUUUCUCUCUCUAUACGUCGAUGACAUAUUAUUGGCUGGAAAUGACAUGGAGUUAAUCAAUACCACUAAGGAGUGGUUGUCUCUCAACUUUGAAAUGAAAGACAUGGGUGAGGCGAGCUAUGUGCUCGGAGUAAAGGUCAUCCGUGAUCGCUCUAGAAGGCUUCUUGGUUUGUCUCAAGAAUCUUAUAUUAAAAAGGUUCUAGAGCGUUUUAGGAUGCAUCAUUGUAAACCCGUUGAUACUCCAGUGGAGAAGAAUCAAACUCUGAGUCUUGAUCAGUGCCCUAAAACGGAUAAAGAGAAGGAACAAAUGAGUAGAGUUCCUUAUGCGAGUGCAAUUGGCAGUUUGAUGUACGCUAUGAUGUGUACUCGACCUGACAUUUGCUUCGCUGUUAGCUUGGUAAGUCGUUACCAGAGCAACCCAGGACCUAUUCAUUGGCAAGCGGUUAAGAGAAUCCUUCGAUAUUUAAAAGGAACCAGUGAUCUCGUUCUCUGUUUUCAAGGAGGGGACUUGAGAUUGAAAGGAUAUAGUGAUGCUGAUUGGGGCGGUGAUAGAGAUGAGCGCAGGUCCACCUCAGGCUAUGUGUUUAUGCUUGGAGGUGGGGCAAUUUCCUGGUGCAGUAAGAAGCAGAGCUGCAUUGCCUUAUCAACCAUGGAAGCGGAAUACGUUGCUUGUUCAGCGGCCGUACAGGAGGCAGUUUGGCUGAGGAGAUUUCUCCAGCACCUCGACAUCGUGACUCGAGCAAAUGAACCUGUUGAGAUGUUCUCUGACAGCAUGGCUGCCCUGGCGUAUGUGAAGGAUCCCAAGUAUCAUGGCAGGACCAAGCAUAUUGAUAUCCGAUUUCACUACAUUCGAGAUAUGAUUAAGCUAGGCGAGGUCGUUCUUAAACAUAUUUCCACCACUAGGAUGGUGGCUGAUCCGUUGACCAAGCCGAUAGCUAGGGAUGUGUUCCAGACCCACGUUGGGAGUUUGGGUCUUCGUAGGUUUUGAUUUAUGGACAUUAUUUUGUAUUUUACGCUUUAUUAAUGAAAAUGUGUUUUUUCUUUUAAUGUGAUUGCGUAAUUGAUACUAGUAGGCACAUAUUCGUUAAGUCACCGGGCUCAGAUCAGCCCACUCACACGGGUGAUCGCCCUGGCACCUAGGUGGUGAGCAGGAUGAGACUAAAUAAUCAUAUUGAACUUGAGUAGUUGUAAUAUGAUUGCUUUGUUCAUAUACGUUAUGAAUAAAGUGUUAACGUAAUUUAAAAGUCGCCUUAAUUAGUUUAAGAUGAGACUCUCAAGAGUCAGAUAUGAAUUUUUGGUGAAAUUUCAUAUCGAGCCUGUAUAGUAGCCGAACCUAAGUGCUCAGGUUAGAGAGAUGACUUGAGUUGUGGUGGUUAGAUACCUUAGUGGUACCUAGACCAAGGUUCGUAUGGCGUUCUUUCAGAGCGUGACAUGUCCCAUUGAGUGGGAGCUCCGCCAUAGCAUACAUAUCAUACUGUAUGUGCUUGUCGACCAGUUAGUAGAGUGACAUAAGCUCUUCCCUCCAUGUCACUGUGUGAGCACUAACCCUUUUGUGCCCUCGACUUAGAACUACGUUAUGAAGUGGAGGUCAAAAGUAACUAACUUAGCGUGUAUCUCAGGGUCAUGAGAAAAUACGAUCUCGCGGAGCACGUCUAGUAAAGUGCUUGGACCAAUAUGGAUUAACGUGAGGGGCUGAGGAAGAUGUUUCGAUAACACACCACGUAAGUCUUGUGACUCAUUGCCCGGGCGGUUAUCUCGGUUGUGUUACUUGAGAUAAUCAUGAGUACGAGAAAUAACGGUGGGGUCGAGCCCUGUCAUUACAGGAGAGGGACUUUGUGAUGCUUGAUCCGGUGUGUGUUGAAACGUCUAGGGCAUAGACGAAUUAAGUCAGUGAUGUGCUAUAUUAGUUGGAUGGUGACUUAAUUUAGCACUCCUGCAUGUGGUUCUUUUCGUCAGGUUGCACGCUCUAUUACCCGUAUGAAGAGACGAAUAAGUGAGAGAGAGUUGGCCAAUGUGGCCAAGUGGGAGAUUGUUGCCAUAUGGUGUGUCCACAUUGGCGGGUUAUGAUUUGACCCGAUCCACAUAAGUUAUGGAUCAUGAUUCAUCCUAACAAGUUUAGGAUAAGUAUAAAUUAUAUGUUUCUUAUCAGUUAAGAAACAUAUCUUAUAAUGGAUAUUUAUUAUAUGUUAAUAAAUAUCCCAAUCCUUAUCCUAAUCUAUAGGAGAUUCAGGAUAUUUAGGGGUUCCGUUAUUUUUAUAUAUACGCCCCCGUUUUCUCCCGUAGAAGAGACGAUCGAAUACGAUCUAAUUCGAGAAUCCACAAAAUCUUUCUUCUUCUCUCUUCUCUUCCUCUCUGGGAUUUCCACCUACGUUCCCGGGGUUUUAGGGUGUGGACAUAGGAGAGGACUCUGGUAGCCCUCUCCGAUUGGCAUCCGUGACGUAAGGCGAUCCGUUCCGUGACGUAAGGCGUACGCGUGGAAGAAGACGAGAAACGUGGGAGAUCCAGAAGCAUCGAGACAAGGACGAUCCAAGAAGGCUUGUAGAACGAGCAAUCCGAUCCGAUUCCGGUUCCCGGAUACGUUGGCUAUCCGGUUUGUAAGUUUUCGUUGCCUAUUAUUUCCAACAGUUAAUAUAAUCUGAAGUUAAUAGUACAAAUGAACGGCGUCCCCUCCAAAGUUAAACGCGAAUAAUAGUUCAAGACAGUGUUAAUAAAAGAACAAUAGUUUAUAAAAGAGUGCAAUGAAACUUGUAAGAGUGCAAUACGGUGGUCGAACGGUUCAGCGUGUAAAAACGGGAGGCUUCUCUCGAGCUCUCUAAUAUCUUUUCUGCAUACGGCGUUAAAACACUGAUAAUCUUCUCCCCAGCAUUUUUCCUCCGGUAAAAAUAAUACGCUGUUUUCUUUCGUGUUUCCUCGACAAGGUAGGUAAUUGGAAAGCUCUUUAAAUGUCAAAUAACACUAUUUAUCGUCUCGGCAUAGUUGGAAGUGAGCAUUGAAUAACGCCUUCCAAAGAAGCAAUGGAUAGCCCACCUAUGCCGAGGAAGUUUGACCACAUACUUGAACUGUUCCGGGUUCAAAUCCUUCAUCUUCUCCAUGUGUUCGUUAAACUCCGCGAUAGUGUAUGCACGCGUCGCCACCCAAAAUCUUCUCCACGCAGGUGUAUUUUGUGGUGCGUGCGGGAGAUUGGUAGACAAAUGGUACAUGCAAUAACUAUGAGCUGCAUCAGGAAAAAUAUUGAAUACAGCUUCAAUCCAACCUUUUUGUCGGUCGGAAAUAAUAGUAAGUAUACCGUUUCCUCUGCUCAUGUCGCGAUCACCGACGAUACCAUCCCGCAACUAUUCCAGAAAUCAGUGCCAGGAAUAGCGAUUUUCACCUUCCAAAACUGCCCAUACUAAUGGCAGUAUGCAGUUAUUUCCAUCAAUACAUGACGCCGUCAGCAUAGCACCUCUAAACUUACCAGUUAGGAAAGUAUCUGAAAGAAUUACAAAGCGUGUAAAUUAGUGCGUAAUCGUGCAAAAUAUUGUAUUUCGCAUCAUUAUAAUAUACAAUAGUGCAAUACAGUUAUAUAAUGGUGUGAACGUCGCUUAUUAGUGUAAAAACGUGACAUCCAGUCCAAACAACGGCCUGCAGUGCUUCCGGAAUGCACGAAUCGAUGCACCAAAUGCGCAGAAAAAACGGUGGAAACGAUCCUUGUUCUGGUAAAAUAGCUGAAGACAUGCAUCCGCAUCUCCAUUCCUCAGCUCUCGUAUGUACGACGAAAGUGCAGCGAAAUACUGUCAAUGUAAGCUAAUCCAUGCUUAUGGACUUUAAUUUUAUGUGGUAGAUUCUUUUUGAGGAAAAAAAGUAGGCUUUUUUUAUGCAGGAAAGAAAAAAACUUUUCUCUCGCCAUCUCAGCUAAUAGGUCUUGAGUGGUACCAGACGCACUCUAUAUAUAUAUAUAGACUGCGUCUGGUAUGCUUUUGGAAGCACGGAGCGCUCCGUGCUUUCAAGUUGUUUUCGAUGUUCGGACUUUCGAAUCGACGAUCGGCUCCAUUAGAGUUGAUCUAGAGUAUUUGAAGUACCUAGAAAAUAAAUUUUGUGAUUUUUCGAUAUCAUUUGCCUAGUGAUCGAAGGGGCUCAAAAUCAAUAAUUUUAACGGCCGUGGUGAGGCCCUUGCCAGUUUAACGGUAUAGAAAAUCCAAAUCAAUGAAAUUUUGAUAGAAAAUUCUUUAUACUAUAAAACAAGAUCAAUAACUUUGAUCUAAAAUUUUAAAUGUCAUAUCAUCAUAUUUUGUAAGAUUUUAUUUUCAGCCGUGAUUUUGAGCCACUUCGAUCACUAGGCAAAUGAUAUCGAAAAAUCAUAAAUUUAAUUUUCUAGAUACUUCAAAUACUGUAGAUACUCUAUACGGAACCGAUCGUCGAUUUGAAAGUCCGAACAUCGAAAACAACUUGGAAGCACGGAAGCGCUCUGUGCUUCCAGAAGCGUACCAAUGCGCUAUAUUAAUAUAUAUAUAUAUAUAUAGAGAGAGAGAGAGAGAGAGAGAGAGAGAGAGAGAGAGAGGAGAGAGAGAAGAGAGAGUUUUGCUAGGACUACUAUCAGUAGUAAACGAGCCGUUUUUACUACCUAUUUGUUUCGAUGAUAGAGCUUCAAAUUGACGAUCGGCUCCGUUGAACCAUGAUCUAUACCACUUGAAAUGUUUAGAAAUCAAAUUUCAAUCUUUUCGAAUCAUUUGCCUAAUGAUUAAAGGGUUCAAAAUUUGUAUUUUAAUGGUCAAUUAGAGGCGUUUUCUCGUUUAACGCGUAAAGAUAUCCAAAUCAAUUGAAUUUUUGUUAGAAAUUUUUUAAACUAUUUAAAACAAGAUCUAUACUCUUGAUCUUGAUUAUAAGACUCCUAUUCAUCAUUUUUUAAAGAAUUUCAUUUUCAGCCAUUCAUUUUUUCUGUUCACUUGAUGGAUAAAAGAACAAUAUCGAAAGUGCGUGAAAUUUGAUUUCUAGGUAGUUUAAAAUGGUUAGAUAUAUUUCACGGAGGCGAUCGUUAAUUUGGAAGCUCUAUUAUUGAAGAACAAAUAGGUAGUAAAACGGGCUCGUUUACUACUGAUAGUAUUAUAGCUCAACUUAUAUAUAUAUAUAUAUAUAUAGAGAGAGAGAGAGAGAGAGAGAGAGAAGAGAGAGAGAGAGAGAGAGUGAGGCUACUAUGCUAUGAAGACGGAGCCUUCCGUGCUUCACACCUCGUUUUCGAUGUUGCGAUUUUCAAAUCGUCGAUCGGCUCCGUUAAUACUUGAUCUAGAUAUUUGAAGUAGGCUAAAAAAAAUUUUAUGAUUUUAACGGAUAUCAUUUGCCUAGUGAACGAAUGGGCUCAAAAUCAACGGCUGAAAAUAAAAAUCUUACAAAAUGUAAUAAUAUGACAUUAAAAUUUUAAAUCAAAGAUAUUGAUCUUGUUUUAUAUAGUAUAAAGAAUUUUCUAUCAAAAUUUCACUUGAUUUGGAUAUUUCUACACCGUUAAACUUGCAAACGGCUCACUACGGCCAUUGAAAUUUGUUGAUUUUGAGCUCAUUCGAUCACUAGGCAAAUGAUAUCGAAAAAUAAUAAAAUUUAUUUUCUAGGUGCUCCAAAUACUCUAGAUCAAGUUUAACGGAGCCGAUCGACGAUUCGAAAGUCGCAACAUCGAAAAUGAAGUGGAAGCACGGAAGGCUCCGUGCUUCCGAUAGCAUAGUAGCCUCACUCUAUAUAUAUA